UUGGUGUGCUCCUCGGUGUGUGCUGACAUUGUGUAUAUCCGCCGAGGGUGGUUGGUGCCGCUGCCGCCGUCGCCGGUGCCUCCUCCCGCCGCCUAGUCGCCGCGGCCGCUACCGCAGGCACCGCCGCCACCUCCCGCGCCGGCGCCGCGAGGCCAGCCACGACAGCGCGCGCGUCGUCCGCCGCCGCGCCCGCCCCGCGCGCGGCCUCAGCCACGCGCACCACCGGCACUCGUUCUGCUUCGGGCACCCGCAGUAGGCGCCGCACAUGCUGCGGCCGGUGGCGACGAAGCCGCUCUUGAUGCAGGUCCUCGAGUAGCUGUUCCGGGGGGUCGAAGGUCUCCUAUAACUCACCGUGAAGUAACCCUUGGACGUCUCGUUGUUUCGGUUUCGGGACGAUCGACCACAUGGUUCAGAACUGUACCAACUCUCGCAUCUGCUGCUCUUCUAGCGUUUAGCAGAACUAGCCCACCAUCGACUAAACCCCUCUUUUGGAGAAUUCCAGAACCAGGUUCAAUUGUGUUCACCUCUUCUUAGUUUUAAACCUCAUCUAGGGAGUCCCACACACCCUAAUCGUUUUGUACAGUUCAGUUCGACGGGUUUAGAACAUAAAAGACCAAACUACUGUUAACCUUACGAACUAAUGAGGAGUUGAGGUCUCUUAAAGUUCCGUAACUGAUCAACGGCCUUCCUCCAUACGCUACUUGAACCUUAUGGUCUUCUCGUCACGCUCGACAGUUACCCGUACAGACGACUAAAACUCGUCCGCUAACUUUACCCGUCGUGUUUACAGUCCCAACCUAGUUGGUAUAAACCACGUUCUCUUAUGGGUUUCUUCUUGAUCCUAUUAAUGUCCCAAAAUAACACUCUGGCACGUAGAUUGUCGACGUCAUAACCACCAUUUAUUUAUAGAUAAAGGUGGCUAUAAAUGUGAAGCUACAAAAUGCGUUCACGGUAUUUAUUCCUAUAACAAAACAGUACACAGAGGAUAAUAAUCUGUAAGUCUCUCGUGACCUUAAGGUUGAAGGGCUAAGUAGUCAUCGAAGGGUUAUUACAGGUGUAAUUUUAGGGAAUACAGUCAGCUGCAAACACUAGUCGGUCUUUAGGACUAUAACAUAAACAGGCACUACAAAGAACCAUCGGAUUUUCAUUACUUGUUUAGGAAACUAAAGGUAGUAAUAUAUUGAAGAAAAACAUUGCGUAGAAAACGUAUUCCAUGGUUUGGUGAAGUCUCGUAGAGAUAGUGUAGGGGUUAUGAAUGGGGGGUUUUUGUUGAAUAACCCUCCGAGGGUUCUUUUAAGACAAAUAAUCCUCCGACACUUGAUCGCCUAGUAGAUUUGAAUUAAAGAAAACGAUCAAGUGUGGGGGAAAACGUACUUUAUACUUAGAGUUGAUAUAAAAGUAUAGUAACAUCUUUUUUCUUUUCCUGUUCCUUUUUCUCUAUUUUCAUUGGAAACCGGUAAAGCGGCUUGUGGGACGCUGUGGCCGGUACCUGUGGCGCCCCCCUCCGCAUCUCCCUCGGAGCGGCUGCGAGUUCAGGUUCCGUUGUUAUCAGCCCUCCACCGUUAACGGUCUCGUUGUUAUCAAAAUACUAAUCGUUGCAAACUGCAUAGAAAAUCAGUUGACAAUGGGCACGAACGAAAUCGCAUCGUUAAGCAGAUCGUUUAGUACAUGUAGACAAUAAUAAAGAGAUACCAGUGACCGUAAAGUACCAAGGGCCUCUUAAGUAUGUGAACCCUCUUUUCGUAAAAGAGUGUCGGUAAAAGAUUAUAGGGUAAGGAAGG
rnacentral:rRNA from 1 species